rnacentral:rRNA from 1 species
UUAUCCGGGUUGAGGACAGUGCCUGGUGGGUAGUUUGACUGGGGCGGUCUCCUCCCAAAGAGUAACGGAGGAGCACGAAGGUGGGCUAAUCACGGUUGGACAUCGUGAGGUUAGUGCAAUGGCAUAAGCCCGCUUAACUGCGAGAAUGACGGUUCGAGCAGGUGCGAAAGCAGGUCAUAGUGAUCCGGUGGUUCUGUAUGGAAGGGCCAUCGCUCAACGGAUAAAAGGUACUCCGGGGAUAACAGGCUGAUACCGCCCAAGAGUUCAUAUCGACGGCGGUGUUUGGCACCUCGAUGUCGGCUCAUCACAUCCUGGGGCUGAAGUCGGUCCCAAGGGUAUGGCUGUUCGCCAUUUAAAGUGGUACGCGAGCUGGGUUUAGAACGUCGUGAGACAGUUCGGUCCCUAUCUGCCGUGGGCGUUGGAAGAUUGAAGGGGGCUGCUCCUAGUACGAGAGGACCGGAGUGGACGAACCUCUGGUGUUCGGGUUGUGUCGCCAGACGCAUUGCCCGGUAGCUAAGUUCGGAAUUGAUAAGCGCUGAAAGCAUCUAAGCGCGAAGCGAGC